GCUAGUCAUGCACAAGACAAUAGCACAUAACAUUGGAGACUAUCCUUACAAGUGUAAUCAGUGUAAUAAAGGAUUUUUCAAAAAAGCAAUGCACAAAAAUCACAUCCUGAAACAUUAUGGGAUCAAACAGUUUGAAUGUCAUAAGUGCCCAAGAGAGUUUACACACAAGAAAGACCUAGUGAUCCAUCUGAAAGCUGUCCAUCUAAAACAGGAAUUUGAAUGCAAAGAUUGUUUCAAAUUAUUUAAAUAUGAAAAGAGUCUAAGAAGACAUGUUAAAUCAAUUCAUGAAUGUAAGUCAUAUAAAUGUAUGAUCUGUGCUAAAGAUUUUAAAUAUGAAAGUAACUACAAGAGACACUUAAAGAAGAAACAUUCCCAGUAAUGGUCAUGUUCAUUCAUGUGUGACGAAGCCUAAUAAUCUUUGCUUUUUACAACUGGUUGAAUGUCAAACUUUAUCUGUUCUUUGCUGAAGAAAUGUAAUAGAAAAGUUGUGCAAUUCAUAUAGCAUAUAUGUAAACAAUGGGAUAAAUAUGUAUUAUACAGUCACAUGUGUAUUAAAUAAUAAAUCUUUCACUUUA